UACGUAGGUGGCAAGCGUUGUCCGGAUUUACUGGGCGUAAAGAGCGCGCAGGCGGUCGUUCAAGUCGCGUGUGAAAGCCCCCGGCUCAACUGGGGAGGGUCACGCGAUACUGAUCGACUCGAAGGCAGGAGAGGGUAGUGGAAUUCCCGGUGUAGUGGUGAAAUGCGUAGAUAUCGGGAGGAACACCAGUGGCGAAGGCGAUCUGCUGGACCUCUUCUGACGCUGAGGCGCGAAAGCCAGGGGAGCAAACGGG
rnacentral:rRNA from 1 species